rnacentral:rRNA from 1 species
CCUACGGGAGGCAGCAGUGGGGAAUUUUGGACAAUGGGCGCAAGCCUGAUCCAGCCAUGCCGCGUGUGGGAAGAAGGCCUUCGGGCUGUAAACCACUUUUGUCAGGGAAGAAACGGCCUUUUCUAAUACAGAGGGCUAAUGACGGUACCUGAAGAAUAAGCACCGGCUAACUACGUGCCAGCAGCCGCGGUAAUACGUAGGGUGCAAGCGUUAAUCGGAAUUACUGGGCGUAAAGCGUGCGCAGGCGGCUUUGCAAGACAGAUGUGAAAUCCCCGGGCUCAACCUGGGAACUGCAUUUGUGACUGCAUGGCUAGAGUACGGUAGAGGGGGAUGGAAUUCCGCGUGUAGCAGUGAAAUGCGUAGAUAUGCGGAGGAACACCGAUGGCGAAGGCAAUCCCCUGGACCUGUACUGACGCUCAUGCACGAAAGCGUGGGGAGCAAACAGGAUUAGAUACCCUGGUAGUCCACGCCCUAAACGAUGUCAACUGGUUGUUGGACGGCUUGCUGUUCNGUAACGAAGCUAACGCGUGAAGUUGACCGCCUGGGGAUACGGCCGCAAGGUUGAAACUUAAAGUGAAUUCGAGG